rnacentral:misc_RNA from 1 species
GAUGAAGAACGCAGCGAAAUGCGAUACUUGGUGUGAAUUGCAGAAUCCCGUGAACCAUCGAGUCUUUGAACGCAAGUUGCGCCCGAAGCCAUUAGGCCGAGGGCACGCCUGCCUGGGUGUCACACGUCGUUGCCCCCCCAUCUACUCCUUCGGGAUUGCGUGGGGCGGAUGAUGGCCUCCCGUGCGCCUCGUCGCGCGGUUGGCAUAAAUGCCAAGUCCUCGGCGACGCACGCCACGACAAUCGGUGGUUGCGAAACCUCGGUUGCCCGUCGUGUGCGGUCGUCGCGCAUCGAGGGCUCGAAAAAAUUGCCGGGCUCCGGCUCGGCUUUCAACGCGACCCCAGGUCAGGCGGGGUUACCCGCUGAAUUUAAGCAUAUCAAUAAGCGGAGGA